GAUGAACGCUAGCUACAGGCUUAACACAUGCAAGCCGAGGGGUAACGAGAGGGAAGCUUGCUUUCCUUGUCGACGACCGGCGCACGGGUGAGUAACGCGUAUCCAACCUGCCCCCAACUAGGGAAUAACCUUGCGAAAGUAAGACUAAUACCCUAUAAUUUCCUCAGAUGUCAUCUGACGAGGAAUAAAGAUUUAUCGGUUGUGGAUGGGGAUGCGUCUGAUUAGCUUGUUGGCGGGGUAACGGCCCACCAAGGCAACGAUCAGUAGGGGUUCUGAGAGGAAGGUCCACCACAUUGGAACUGAGACACGGUCCAAACUCCUACGGGAGGCAGCAGUGAGGAAUAUUGGUCAAUGGGCGGAAGCCUGAACCAGCCAAGUAGCGUGCAGGAUGACGGCCCUAUGGGUUGUAAACUGCUUUUAUACAGGAAUAAAGUUAGCCACGUGUGGUUAUUUGUAGGUACUGUAUGAAUAAGGACCGGCUAAUUCCGUGCCAGCAGCCGCCGUAA
rnacentral:rRNA from 1 species